GAUCAGAAAAUAAACGAAAAAUGAAACAACUUUGAGCGGUGGAUCACUCGGCUCG
rnacentral:rRNA from 1 species